rnacentral:rRNA from 1 species
GACGAACGCUGGCGGCGUGCUUAACACAUGCAAGUCGAACGAAGAGCGAUGGAAGUUUGCUUCUAUCAAUCUUAGUGGCGAACGGGUGAGUAACGCGUAAUCAACCUGUCCUUCAGAGGGGGACACCAGUUGGAAACGACUGUUAAUGCUGCAUACUAUCUAAUCUCGGCAUCGAGGAAAGAUGAAAGGUGGCCUCUAUUUAUAAGCUAUCACUGAAGGAGGGGAUUGCGUCUGAUUAGCUAGGUGGCGGGGUAACGGCCCACCAAGGCGAUGAUCAGUAGGCGGUCUGGGAGGAUGAACGGCCACAUUGGGACUGGGACACGGCCCAGACGCCUACGGGAGGCAGCAGAGGGGAAUCUUGCGCAAAAGAGGAGAGACUGACGGAGAAACGCCGCAUGAGUGAGGACGGCCUUCGGGUUGUAAAGCUCUGUUAAUCGGGACGAAAGGCCUUCUUGCGAACAGUUAGAAGGAUUGACGGUACCGGAGUAGAAAGCCACGGCUAACUACGUG